NNNCGACCAUAGCGUUUUGGACCCACCUGAUUCCAUCCCGAACUCAGAAGUGAAACGAAGUAGCGCCGAUGGUAGUGUAAGCGUUGAUUAUAAGAUUUGUUUGAGGA
rnacentral:rRNA from 1 species